rnacentral:rRNA from 1 species
CAGCCGCCGCGGGAAAACGUAGGGUGCAAGCGUUACUCGGAAUUACUGGGCGUAAAGCGUGCGUAGGUGGUGGUUUAAGUCCGUUGUGAAAGCCCUGGGCUCAACCUGGGAAUUGCAGUGGAUACUGGGUCACUAGAGUGUGGUAGAGGAUAGUGGAAUUUCCGGUGUAGCAGUGAAAUGCGUAGAGAUCGGAAGGAACAUCUGUGGCGAAGGCGACUAUCUGGGCCAACACUGACACUGAGGCACGAAAGCGUGGGGAGCAAACAGGAUUAGAUACCCGCGUAGUCCCUGUCUCUUAUAC